rnacentral:rRNA from 1 species
AGGCCCUUCGGGGUACUCGAGCGGCGAACGGGUGAGUAACACGUGAGCAACCUGCCCUUAGCUCCGGGAUAGCUCCGGGAAACCGGAAUUAAUACCGGAUACGACCACGGCCGACAUCUGCCGUGGUGGAAAGGAUUCCGGCUAAGGAUGGGCUCGCGGCCUAUCAGCUAGUUGGUGGGGUAAUGGCCCACCAAGGCGACGACGGGUAGCCGGCCUGAGAGGGCGACCGGCCACACUGGGACUGAGACACGGCCCAGACUCCUACGGGAGGCAGCAGUGGGGAAUAUUGCGCAAUGGGCGAAAGCCUGACGCAGCGACGCCGCGUGGGGGAUGAAGGCCUUCGGGUUGUAAACCCCUUUCAGCAGGGACGAAGCGAAAGUGACGGUACCUGCAGAAGAAGCGCCGGCUAACUACGUGCCAGCAGCCGCGGUAAUACGUAGGGCGCAAGCGUUGUCCGGAAUUAUUGGGCGUAAAGAGCUCGUAGGCGGUCUGUUGCGUCCGCUGUGAAAACCCAGGGCUUAACCCUGGGCUUGCAGUGGAUACGGGCAGACUAGAGGCAGGUAGGGGAGAAUGGAAUUCCCGGUGUAGCGGUGAAAUGCGCAGAUAUCGGGAGGAACACCGGUGGCGAAGGCGGUUCUCUGGGCCUGACCUGACGCUGAGGAGCG